ensembl:ncRNA T05C12.14 ncRNA
CUUCCUUUCACUUGAAUAUAAAAAGUUAAUAAAAUAAAGAAAACAAAAGACAUUGAUGAUGACCUCCUAUUUGAAAAGUAAAGAGGAAAAGGGUGAACACAUGGACGAUUGAAAUGGAGGAUUAGUGACUGAUCCCCCAUGGGACCACACAAAGAAAAGAGAGAAAGCACUCACUUGACAAAUAGAUACUUACGAUGUGUUU